CUGGUUACUUGAUAAAAGAAUUUUAGUUCUACCUAAAGCCCAAAAGAAGUCUAAUAAACUGUCACUUAUGCUUUAGAGUUAUUCAAAUAAGGUACAGCCUAUUUGAACAAGGAAACAACCUAAACUAAUGGGUAAAUAUCUACAACGUACCAAAGUGGGCCUAAAAGCAGCCACCUUAAACAAUAGCGUCAAAGCUUCUCUACACAAGUAUAUUCAAUUCCACACCCUAACCCAAACCCUUUAUUAUCAUCAAGUAAUUCUAUACAUCUAUAGAACAUAAAAUGUUAAAACUAGUAAUAAGAAGUAAGCCCUCCUCUUAAAUGUGAGUGUAAGCCAGAAAGGAUAAACCACUGUCAAUUAACACCAAUGAUUUUUAAUCAGCAACACCACAAGAAAACCCUGAUAAAACAAAUGUUAAACUAACACAAGAACAUUUCAAGAAAGAUUAAAAGAAAAAGAAGGAACUCGGCAAACAUUAACCCCGCCUGUUUACCAAAAACAUCGCCUCUUGACACAAAUAAGAGGUCUAGCCUGCCCAGUGACCUAGUUCAACGGCCGCGGUAUCCUAACCGUGCGAAGGUAGCGUAAUCACUUGUUCUUUAAAUGAGGACUAGUAUGAAUGGCAUCACGAGGGUUGCACUGUCUCCUUUUUUUAAUCAGUGAAACUAAUCUUCCCGUGAAGAAGCGGGAAUUUUUUUAUAAGACGAGAAGACCCUAUGGAGCUUUAAACAAAUUAACACUUGCUGCCCAAAAUAAUUUUUUUAAACACAGCAUAGCAUGAUGAUUAAUAGUUUUCGAUUGGGGCGAUCACGGAGUAAAAAAUAACCUCCAUGCCAAAAGGGCCUUCCCCCUGAGCUAAAAACCACAACUUUAAGCACUAAAAAAUUAACGUUUAUUGACCCAAUAUUUUGAUCAACGAACCAAGUUACCCUAGGGAUAACAGCGCAAUCCACUUCAAGAGCUCCUAUCGACAAGUGGGUUUACGACCUCGAUGUUGGAUCAGGGUAUCCUAGUGGUGCAGCCGCUACUAAUGGUUCGUUUGUUCAACGAUUAAAACCCU
rnacentral:rRNA from 1 species